UACGAAGGGGGCUAGCGUUGUUCGGAAUUACUGGGCGUAAAGGGCGCGUAGGCGGUGCCUCAAGUCAGGCGUGAAAGCCCCGGGCUCAACCUGGGAACCGCGCUUGAGACUGGAGUACUAGAGUUCGGGAGAGGAUGGUGGAAUUCCCAGUGUAGAGGUGAAAUUCGUAGAUAUUCGGAAGAACACCAGUGGCGAAAGGCGACUCACUGGACAUGUAU
rnacentral:rRNA from 1 species